rnacentral:lncRNA from 1 species
GGGAACAUUCAUGCUUCUUAGAACAUUUGGGGCAGACAAAAAUUUUUUAAAGUUUUUAAGUGACAGAAGGAAUGGUGGUAAUGAUCCAUUAAAACGUUUCAAGAUCUCCAUGGUCUUCAGGAUUUACCAUUCACAUUCAAAAGUGCUGCUGAUGCUUUUAGCUGUAAAUUAUUAAAAUAACAAAAUGAUAACAAUUUCAUUUUGUUAGAGAGUUUGAAAUUCUGCUGAUUUUAGCAAGUAGUUCUGGAUUUAAAAUAAUUUUUCUUUGUUUGACAUUCAUUUGUUGAUCUUUCAUUAUUUAUUCUUUUGAAACCCUGGUUUGUGCCUGACACUAUAUUACAUGGAAGGUACACAGAGAUCAAAGGAACCUUCCUGGUUCUCAGGCAGCUCAUUGCUAGUAACUCAGAGUAUAACGUAAAAUAAAGCCAGAGAAAAUGAACUUGUUAAGCCUAGGUGUAGGGACUGAGCGCUGAGGAAUAAGGCAGAACACACAUUCUUUUUCUUUUCUUUUUUUUUUUUUUUUUAGUCUUUUUAUCUUUUUAGGGUCACACCUGAGGCAUAUGGAAGUUCCCAGGCUAGGGGUCCAAUCGGAGCUGUAGCGCCGGCUUAUGCCCCAGCCACUGCAACACUGAAUCUGAGCCUCGUCUGCUACCUACACCACAGCUCACGGCAAUGCCAGAUCCUUAAUCCACUGAGUGAGGCCAGGGAUCAAACCUGCGUCCUCAUGGAUACUAAUCAGGUUCGCUAACUGCUGAGCCAUGGCAGGAACUCCCAGAACACACCAUUCUAAGAGAGGUGUUAUUUGUCUGCUUUUGCCUGGAAUACUUAGUGGGAUCUAGUUAGUCUAGAUAUUCAUAAACAACAAAUAGUAACAUCUUUUAGCUUUGGUACUCAAUGGGAUAACAGAAUGUGUGUGUGUGUGUGUGUUUUCUAUGAGUCAUGCGCCAUCCUAAGUGCUUCAUUUAUGUUAGCUAAGUUAAUAACCGUGGUAUUCCUCUUAGGUAGAUUCCAGAAUUAGCUCCACUUUGCAGACAUGUCUUUGAAUAGAGAGUUGAGAGGAAAUAACUUUGCCACGGUCAUGAGGGCACUUAGUAAUCAAGGCUGACCAGCUGUGGACACCUCUGCUUUGAAGCCUCUGAUGGUCCUGAGGGAGUUUGACCUCUACUGGGGCUGGAGGAGGAUCAGAAGGGCUUUGUUUGAAAAAAACAAAACAAACAAACAAAAUGGAAUCUGUGUUUUGGAAUAAGAACUAUACCCUAAAAUUUGCUUUGCAACUGACUAAAACAUGUUUAUGUGCAACAGUAAAUUGUAUAGAGUGUAACUUGGGUAUUCAUUUCUAGGACCAGUCAUUAGGAAUCUGGUAAUACCCACAGCAUGGUCCACUCUGAAAAUUUCUUCCUUUAGGUUCUUUUGAUCCUCCUUGGUUUCCACCCUCUUCUGGCCUCAUACCAGUGUGUGUUGGAUUGUUGCAUUCUUGCUUGAGGCCCCUCAUUUUUAUUCUAAGUCUUUUUAUCCACUUGAUCUUUUAAAGUGCAGCCUUUCACUGAAUUUCUAGGAAAGAUUGUAUCCUUUAAAAGCUUUGCAAAAUAUGAGUUGUUACAUGUACUUAUUAUGCUCACUUUGCUUGCUUCCUCUCUUUGUAGGCGGAUUUGGUUAUGAUUGCUUCCUUCUGAUAAGAAUAAGCUUUUCCAUGUGGUGUGUUCUUUUGGCUGCAAUUGAGAUUUGAAUUUAUUUUUGGUGGGAAGAGUUCUGAUUAGGGCCAGAAUAAUAAUAGAGUGCCUAUUUAUCAGGAACAUGGAUACCUUCUGCCUCUAAUCACUUAGAGACAUUCUAGUUUCAUCAUUUCAUCUCCCUGACUCUCAUUGUGAGCUACAUUAAUAAUAGAAGUUAGCUAAUACUUAAGUGUUUUACAAGUACUUUAUACAUCUUAACUGAUUUAAUAAUAAAGCUAAUCCUAUCAGGUAGGAAGCAUUGUUUUCUAUAUUUAACAGAGAAGGGAAUUUCAAACAGGUAAUAAGCUGUCAGGGCAGACCUAGCAUUUCAAACCUCCUUGCUAAGCAGUUUCUGAUAAGGAGGAGACAAAUUCAACCUGUCCUGGGAAGAGUCAGAGAAAUCUCCUUGGAAGAGUUAAUAGCUGAUUUCAAUAAGAUGUGUAUCUUUCUACUUGAUCUUCCUUAUGACUCUUCAAAUUAUUUGUAAGUUAUGGAAGCCCACCCAUAUAAUAUUUGUUGAGCAUUUAUUAUGAGUGAUGCCUGUCUUAAACAGUGUAAAUGUAUUAACACAUUUAAUUUUCACAACUCUUUGAGAAAGGCAUCAAUUCCCCCAUUUCAUAGUUGAAGCAAUUGAAGCACUUGCUAAUUUUGUCCAGUAGCCCAAAGCUGGUAAAUGUCAAAGGUAGGGUUUAAAUCCAGGAAGCUCUGGUUCCUGAAUUAUGUAUCCACAAGUCAGCACUACCAUUACACUGUCACUGUGAGAUUGGGUUGACCUAAUUAUAGCAGAAGAAUGCCUAAUUGCCUACCAAUUCCUGAACCACACUAUUUUAUUCUUUGAUGUUUUAAAUACCUUUAGCUGACAGGUAUUUAAAAUAUAAUAGCUAUAAAAUAUUAUAAGUCAAGAAUCAAUCUUUUAAAAAUGCAUAUCUGGUUCAGUUAGAUUAUAAGCCCUCAGUGAUCAAUACCAACAGGUAGACACAUUUGGGGCCUUGGACUCAGAACUAGACCUUGCUACUAUGAGGGACUGAUGGUGGGAUCAGGCCCAGCUUGGGUCCUUGAGGGAAAGUCUAUUCUGGUAGCCGCAGCACAGUAUCUAGGCUUAAGGCAAAAGCAACAUGGUCCAGAGAAUUCUUAUGGAGAGCAGGAGAGGUGGAAGCAGGCACCCGGUGUCAGGGAAGACUGUCAGAAGGCACCAAGUCUAGCUUCAGGACCAGAACUUUAGGGAGAUGUCAAGAGCAUAGAGAGGUUCUUCAUAGGUUCCAGAGAAAGAAGUCAGCCCUAGGAAAAUGGUAGAAAUUCAAUAUCCAGAGCUGUGGUGCCCUGUGAGAGCCAGACUCACACAUAUGAUGUGAGUCCCAUUGUUUCUACUUAAAUUUCUUGUUCCAGCUGCUAGGGCUGAUCGUAAUUCCUGGAAGGUGGUCUGAUUCUAAAGGAGGGGAGGUAGGUUCUGGCUUUGGAAAAAUGCGUUCUCCUUUAUCAAAUGGAAGCCUUCCUCAUAUCCUCUCUCAAAUAACAACCAAUUAUUUGUCCUAACUGUUGGCGUCAUUUCUAGAUUAGGUGCAUUCCAUUGGUUGUACUUACUAGGUUCCUUUCUGGUUGGUUCUUGAGAUAGAGUGAAGAUAGUCUCCCUAGAUAAGCUGCCUGACAAGGAAUAAAAAUUCUGAAAAGAGAGAAGAAGAAUGUAUAUCAAUACUGUUAUCCUUUGUCAGAGGUGGGAAUUAAGCCUGUGUUAGGCAUGGCACAGCAUAAAUAGUCAAGUCCCUGGCACGGUUGGAGGAGAAGAAUGAUAACUGUAAGUCCAAAUAACAGAGAAUCCAAAAUUAUUGCUGUUUACCACUGGGGACCAUUAAGUAGCUUUCCAGCAGACAGUUACCUUCUCAAAUACAAUUUAAUACAGUGGCCAGUUUUUUUCUUUAUGCCUUACAUUGGAAAGAAUUGACCCAGAAUCAGGUGAAAAGCAAAGGUGAACUGAGGUGGAGGACACAGGCUCCCCAGAUAAUUCACAAACUGGAUUAUAUCCCCAAGUAGACUAAAACUUAAUUGUAUUAUCAUCUAAAUUUGAUGUUUGUACAGUGUAGUGUCAGCAGAUGGUGUCGGGGGCUCUGUGAACUUGAUAUUUUCAUACAGUUCUCAGGAUGGAAUGAGCAGAACACAGACAAGGAAUAAAAAAGGACCAAAGCUUCCCCAGAUGCUGGCAUUAUGUUGUCUUUCUCCCUUGGUGCAAAACGGAAACUAGUAUGAAAGCCAGGAACUGUUUCUUGACUCUUCAUCUCAUGUCUGAUAUGCCCACUAAUUACUAUAGAAUGAUUUGCUGGAAGGAACAAGAUACUUGUAAUCAGAAGACCUAGAUGUGGAUCCUAAAGCUACCACUUAUUCUAGUCCCUAUUGGGCAGGUCACUUCAUCUCCCUGACCCUGUUUUCUUACUUUUGAAAUACAUUGUUCCAGACUUAACUCUUUUUUAAAAUUAAAGCUUCUUUUACAUUUUAUUUUUUAACUAUUAAAAAAAUUGAAGCAUAGUUAAUUUAUAAUGUUAUGUGUGUGUCAUGUGUGUGAGUGUAUAUGUAUUCUUUUUCAGAUUCUUUCCCAUUAUAGGUUAUUACAAGAUAUUGAAUAUAGUUGCCAGGCAGGUCCUUAUUGUUUAUGUAUUUAUAUAAACUGCUAUCCAAAACUCCUCAUUUGUCUCUCCCCACCUUUCCUCUUUGGGAAACAAACCAUAAAUUUGUUUUCUAUGUUUGUGAGUUCUGUUUUGUAAGUAAGUUCAUUUGUAUUUUUUUUUUAGAUUCUACGUAUAAAUGAUAUCAUAUGAUAUUUGUCUUUGACUCAUUUCACUGAAUAUGAAUAUCUCUAGAUCCAUCCAUGUUGCUUCAAAUGGUACGUUUUUUCUUCUGUCAAAGACAUUUAUUCUAAGAAUCUAAACUCUGGACAGGGAACAUUGAACUUAGAAAAAGCCAGCACAGGAUUUUGCAGUUUCUUCCUAAGACAUUAGCAACCUGAAAAUGAGGGGAAAGGAGAAACUUUUAAAACAAUAUUGCUCCAGUUUGUCUGCAGUUAUGUAAUUUAAAAUAUCCUUGUUCUAUUAAGCUAUAAGCUUAAACUUGUUAGAAAACUUAACAAAUCAUCCCCCAAUACAACCCCCCCAAAAAACACCCCACACUCAAAUCCUAACUUACUAGCUUUCUUAAUGCAUAUACAGUAACUCCAAACUAUUUUCAUUUAGAAAAUGUGUUUAUGUAAAAAAAGUUUCCCUCUUGUAGUUCCCAAUUAGUGACUUCUCGGAUUUACAUCUUAUUAUUCCAGUCCAUGGACUUUAGGGUGAAGUCAGUUGAGAUUGUGUGACAUUGCUAUCCUGGCUUUUCCCAGGUCCCUGUCUUUCCCCAAACUGUUCCCUUAACUUGGCAUGCCCUCCUUAUCCCUUCUCCUUAUUAAAAUCUUACCCAUACUUCAAGGUUAGGUCAUCUCCUAAUUCAGGUCCAGGUUUAACACUUCAUGAGGAUAUUCUUCCUAUCAGAAGCAGUGAGGAUGCUUCCUAUUUGUUACUUACUGCUACUACCAAAAUUACAGAGUAACUGAUAAUGCAGAUAAAUCUGUUUACUCUAUCGCGUUUUUUUUUGUUUGUUUGUUUUUUUUUGAAAGGGCUUGAGGAAGCCAAGAGGUUGGUAAUGUUUUAUUUUUUAUUUUAUAGAUAAGAAAACUGGGUUGAAAUAAUUUGCUUCAGUUGGUAUAACCAGACUUGAGUGCAGACAUGAUUAGACUCUAACUCAGUUUUGAUCUGAGAUGACUGAUGUGGUACGUUGUCCUACUUGUCAAAAUUCUACGAGGGUGCUUUGUUGGGGGUGUUUUGACUAUCUCUCUAAACCUCUACAGUCUUUAAUAUUCCAUGCAUCAUUCUCUUACUUAUGUGGUCUUAUAAAUCUUACUUCUAAUCCUCUAUUAUGAGUCCCUUGAAGGAAGGAACUGGGGCUUGCUGAUUUUGGUAUUGCUUACUAUGUCCACCACAAGACUUUGCAUACAGUAAGUGCUCAAUCGUAGCUAUUUUGGAUGAAUACAUGAUAUUUCCUGAAACCAGACUUUGAGUAAGCAGCUGCAUUUCCCUUAGGUUUGUGUGGCAGAAAGUGUGGCUGUGCUGUUUAAUAAUUACUAGGUACCAAUGACACGUGUAUAGUAAACAAUAUGUUGACUGUGUGAUUUUAGGCUAAGUGUCUUUCUGAUUUGAAUUGAUAUACCAUUAUAUUCUUUUCUUUAUGGAAAUGACCAGAAAAGAAGCACUACAUUAUCCAAAAUUUAUUUAUAAUCCUUUUAUUAGCUGAUGAUGGAUUAUUUUGUUUACUAUAUUAUUGUCAAAACUUAAAUUAAGAAUUUACAACUUUAAUCAGACUGCAGAGUCCAUGUGUGCAGGGAUCCUGUCUAUUAUUUUCACAGCUUUAUUAUAGCCAGUAAUUAGAGUAACAGCAGAUAUUUAAUAAUAUUUGCUGGCUGAUCAGUGAGGCUGUAAUUUCAUUGAAUUAUGUACUUUUGGGCUUUGGAUGAUGUGAUUAUUAGGGUUAAAACUUGUAAGACACUUUCAUAUAGGUUAACCCUUUUGAUCUUCACAAUAACCUUGGGAAGUAGUUAAGGCAAAUAUUUUACCUUCAUUUUUU